UAAAUUACUUCCGGUUGGUUGACUUCCGGUAUUUGUUCGAUAGCUAGAGAUACAUUUUGUGGUCUUCUGUAGUACUUUCUGUUGCCAUCCUACACAAAGCGGCGAAGAAGCAAUGCCGCCAACGCGAUUAACUUCUGAGGCGUUCCAUCCAUUUUCCUACCACUUGUCCCUUUCGGAGUCGCGGGGGUUGCUGGAGCCUAUCUCUGUUACAUCUUCAUGGCAUCGUGACGCAAGGGGUGCUUCUUUCAAGAUGCAGUCGGGCGACGGACACGGCGAAGGAAUUGAGUCCCGUUCACAGCGGAGACAGCAGGAAACCAUCCCAAGCGGAGGCGGAUCAGCAGCGCAGAGAUGUCCCCAGCCGAUACACAGGCAAGCAGUACAUGGCCACCGGAUCGGACCGGAGGACCAAAUAGCCCAAAAACAACACAAGUCAUCAAAAAGUCGAUACUUCCUUCUUCUUCUACUCACCCACUGCCGCCUUAGUGUGCCACCUUUUGCUGCUGCCCUCUGCGGGGUGGUGGGGGGACUGCAGGCAUGAGCAACCCUGCUUUGAGUGCUGUCUUCAAGUUGGAACGUUGAUGGGCGGCCCGCCAGUUGAAUGAUAUUGAACACGGUGGCCACGGAGGAACCACUGGCUGUCCAGAGUCAGGACCCAGGGUGGACCACUCGCCUGUGCAUCGGGUUGGGACAUCUCUGUGCUGCUGACCAGCCUCCGCUCAGGAUGGUCUCCUGCUGGCUCCACUAUGGACUGGACUCUCACUAUUAUGUUAGAUCCACUAUGGACUGGACUCUCACUAUUAUGUUAGAUCCACUAUGGACUGGACUCUCACUAUUAUGUUGGAUCCACUAUGGACUGGACUCUCACUAUUAUGUUAGAUCCACUAUGGACUGGACUCUCACUAUUAUGUUAGAUCCACUAUGGACUGGACUCUCACUAUUAUGUUAGAUCCACUAUGGACUGGACUCUCACACUAUUAUGUUAGAUCCACUAUGGACUGGACUCUCACUAUUAUGUUAGAUCCACUAUGGACUGGACUCUCACACUAUUAUGUUAGAUCCACUAUGGACUGGACUCUCACUAUUAUGUUAGAUCCACUAUGGACUGGACUCUCACUCUUAUGUUAGAUCCACAAUGGACUGGACUCACACUAUUAUGUUAGAUCCACUAUGGACUGGACUCUCACUAUUGUGUUGGAUCCACUAUGGACUGGACUCUCACACUAUUAUGUUAGAUCCACUAUGGACUGGACUCUCACUAUUGUGUUGGAUCCACUAUGGACUGGACUCUCACACUAUUAUGUUAGAUCCACGAUGGACUGGACUCUUACUAUUAUGUUAGAUCCACUAUGGACUGGACUCUCACUAUUAUGUUAGAUCCACUAUGGACUUGACUCUCACUAUUAUGUUAGAUCCACUAUGGACUGGACUCUCACCAAUAUGUUAGAUCCACUAUGGACUGGACUCUCACUAUUAUGUUAGAUCCACUAUGGACUGGACUCUCACACUAUUAUGUUAGAUCCACUAUGGACUGGACUCUCACACUAUUAUGUUAGAUCCACUAUGGACUGGACUCUCACACUAUUAUGUUAGAUCCACUAUGGACUGGACUGUCACUAUUAUGUUAGAUCCACUAUGGACUGGACUCUCACACUAUUAUGUUAGAUCCACUAUGGACUGGACUCUCACACUAUUAUGUUAGAUCCACUAUGGACUGGACUCUCACACUAUUAUGUUAGAUCCACUAUGGACUGGACUCUCUCACUAUUAUGUUAGAUCCACUAUGGACUGGACUCUCACACUAUUAUGUUAGAUCCACUAUGGACUGGACUCUCACUAUUAUGUUGGAUCCACUCUGGACUGGACUCUCACUAUUAUGUUAGAUCCACUAUGGACUGGACUCUCACUAUUAUGUUAGAUCCACUAUGGACUGGACUCUCACACUAUUAUGUUAGAUCCACUAUGGACUGCACUCUCACACUAUUAUGUUAGAUCCACUAUGGACUGGACUCUCACUAUUAUGUUGGAUCCACUAUGGACUGGACUCUCACACUAUUAUGUUAGAUCCACUAUGGACUGGACUCUCACUAUUAUGUUGGAUCCACUAUGGACUGGACUCUCUCACUAUUAUGUUAGAUCCACUAUGGACUGGACUCUCACACUAUUAUGUUAGAUCCACUAUGGACUGGACUCUCACCAAUAUGUUAGAUCCACUAUGGACUGGACUCUCACUGUUGGUAAAAAGUGUGUUUUAAAUUUUUAAUGUCCAAGACCACUCCAUCCUGUUGGUAAAAAGCAUGUUUUCUAUCUUUCAUGUCACGUGACCACUACUUCCUGUUGGUAAAAAGCAUGUUUUCCAUGUGUAGGAAGCAUUGUGCUACAAGGAGUCACAGAGGAAGAGUUGAUAUGAUUUUUACUUCAUUUUCAAAUAUAUGUAACACUGUAAAUGUGCUUUUAUUGAACUUGCAGUUCUUCAUUUUGGCCGCUAGUCGGCAGUGUUGACUUUUUGCAUCUUCUACUGAGUCAAUACUGUAUGGUUUUAGUGUGUAUUUCUGCAAAAUGUUCAACUUUGACUCGGCUGCUGAGGAAGCAGAGCAGGAGUUGAUGUGAGUUUUACUUCCUUUUCACAAUAAAAGCUCCUGAUCGCUGCCUGCGAACUCA